UACGGAGGGGGCUAGCGUUGUUCGGAAUUACUGGGCGUAAAGCGCACGUAGGCGGCUUUGUAAGUUAGAGGUGAAAGCCCGGAGCUCAACUCCGGAAUUGCCUUUAAGACUGCAUCGCUAGAAUUGUGGAGAGGUGAGUGGAAUUCCGAGUGUAGAGGUGAAAUUCGUAGAUAUUCGGAAGAACACCAGUGGCGAAGGCGGCUCACUGGUCCGGUACUGACGCUGAGGUGCGAAAGCGUGGGGAGCAAACAGG
rnacentral:rRNA from 1 species